UGGCGGACGGGUGAGUAACGCGUGGAUAACCUGCCGUAUACCGGGGGAUAACACUUAGAAAUAGGUGCUAAUACCGCAUAAGCGCACGACUCCGCAUGGGGCAGUGUGAAAAACUCCGGUGGUAUACGAUGGAUCCGCGUCUGAUUAGCUAGUUGGCGGGGUAACGGCCCACCAAGGCAGCGAUCAGUAGCCGGCCUGAGAGGGUGGACGGCCACAUUGGGACUGAGACACGGCCCAAACUCCUACGGAAGGCAGCAG
rnacentral:rRNA from 1 species